AUUGCUUCUCGGCCUUUUGGCUAAGAUCUAGUGUAGUAUCUGUUCUUAUCAGUUUAAUUAUACAGUUAGUCCCUUAAAUUCAAGGAUUUCCUUGGAAUUUAUUUUGCCGGUAGCAUUUUAUCAUAAAAGAAGAAUCACU
ensembl:snRNA U2 U2 spliceosomal RNA